AACGAACGCUGGCGGCAUGCCUAACACAUGCAAGUCGAACGAGAUCUUCGGGUCUAGUGGCGCACGGGUGCGUAACGCGUGGGAAUCUGCCCUUUGGUUCGGAAUAACAGUUGGAAACGACUGCUAAUACCGGAUGAUGACGAAAGUCCAAAGAUUAUCGCCAGAGGAUGAGCCCGCGUAGGAUUAGCUAGUUGGUGUGGUAAAGGCGCACCAAGGCGACGAUCCUUAGCUGGUCUGAGAGGAUGAUCAGCCACACUGGGACUGAGACACGGCCCAGACUCCUACGGGAGGCAGCAGUGGGGAAUAUUGGACAAUGGGCGAAAGCCUAAUCCAGCAAUGCCGCGUGAGUGAUGAAGGCCUUAGGGUUGUAAAGCUCUUUUACCCGGGAUGAUAAUGACAGUACCGGGAGAAUAAGCUCCGGCUAACUCCGUGCCAGCAGCCGCAGUAA
rnacentral:rRNA from 1 species